AGAAGAUUUGUUUUUGGUGAACACAAUGUGUAACAAGGAAAUGGGCCAUACAAAUCAUCAUGGAAACAGCUUCAUACUUUUUAAAUGAAAAAUCUACGACUGAAGUGAAAUUGGCGUGUUACCUGCAAGUGAUGUAACGUCUACCUGAGGAUGUACAAACGUCAGUAUUGAGACAGGAGUCCAGUUCAGUGUUGAACU